UUAAGCGACUAAGCGUACACGGUGGAUGCCCUGGCAGUCAGAGGCGAUGAAGGACGUGCUAAUCUGCGAAAAGCGCCGGCGAGGUGAUAUGAACCUUUGACCCGGCGAUGUCCGAAUGGGGAAACCCAGUGUGUUUCGACACACUAUCGUUAACUGAAUACAUAGGUUAACGAGGCGAACCGGGGGAACUGAAACAUCUAAGUACCCCGAGGAAAAGAAAUCAACCGAGAUUCCCCCAGUAGCGGCGAGCGAACGGGGAGCAGCCCAGAGUCUGAAUCAGCAUGUGUGUCAGUGGAAGCGUCUGGAAAGUCGCAGGGUACAGGGUGAUACUCCCGUACACGAAGAUACACUUGCUGUGAACUCGAAGAGUAGGGCGGGACACGUGGUAUCCUGUCUGAAUAUGGGGGGACCAUCCUCCAAGGCUAAAUACUCCUGACUGACCGAUAGUGAACCAGUACCGUGAGGGAAAGGCGAAAAGAACCCCGGCGAGGGGAGUGAAAAAGAACCUGAAACCGUGUACGUACAAGCAGUGGGAGCACCUUCGUGGUGUGACUGCGUACCUUUUGUAUAAUGGGUCAGCGACUUAUAUUCUGUAGCAAGGUUAACCGUAUAGGGGAGCCGAAGGGAAACCGAGUCUUAACUGGGCGUUAAGUUGCAGGGUAUAGACCCGAAACCCGGUGAUCUAGCCAUGGGCAGGUUGAAGGUUGGGUAACACUAACUGGAGGACCGAACCGACUAAUGUUGAAAAAUUAGCGGAUGACUUGUGGCUGGGGGUGAAAGGCCAAUCAAACCGGGAGAUAGCUGGUUCUCCCCGAAAGCUAUUUAGGUAGCGCCUCGUGAAUUCAUCUCCGGGGGUAGAGCACUGUUUCGGCUAGGGGGCCAUCCCGGCUUACCAACCCGAUGCAAACUGCGAAUACCGGAGAAUGUUAUCACGGGAGACACACGGCGGGUGCUAACGUCCGUCGUGAAGAGGGAAACAACCCAGACCGCCAGCUAAGGUCCCAAAGUCAUGGUUAAGUGGGAAACGAUGUGGGAAGGCACAGACAGCCAGGAUGUUGGCUUAGAAGCAGCCAUCAUUUAAAGAAAGCGUAAUAGCUCACUGGUCGAGUCGGCCUGCGCGGAAGAUGUAACGGGGCUAAACCAUGCACCGAAGCUGCGGCAGCGACACUAUGUGUUGUUGGGUAGGGGAGCGUUCUGUAAGCCUGCGAAGGUGUGCUGUGAGGCAUGCUGGAGGUAUCAGAAGUGCGAAUGCUGACAUAAGUAACGAUAAAGCGGGUGAAAAGCCCGCUCGCCGGAAGACCAAGGGUUCCUGUCCAACGUUAAUCGGGGCAGGGUGAGUCGACCCCUAAGGCGAGGCCGAAAGGCGUAGUCGAUGGGAAACAGGUUAAUAUUCCUGUACUUGGUGUUACUGCGAAGGGGGGACGGAGAAGGCUAUGUUAGCCGGGCGACGGUUGUCCCGGUUUAAGCAUGUAGGCUGAUUAUCCAGGCAAAUCCGGAUAAUCAAGGCUGAGGUGUGAUGACGAGUCACUACGGUGAUGAAGUAACAAAUGCCCUGCUUCCAGGAAAAGCCUCUAAGCAUCAGGUAACAUCAAAUCGUACCCCAAACCGACACAGGUGGUCAGGUAGAGAAUACCAAGGCGCUUGAGAGAACUCGGGUGAAGGAACUAGGCAAAAUGGUGCCGUAACUUCGGGAGAAGGCACGCUGAUAUGUAGGUGAAGCCCCUGCGGGUGGAGCUGAAAUCAGUCGAAGAUACCAGCUGGCUGCAACUGUUUAUUAAAAACACAGCACUGUGCAAACACGAAAGUGGACGUAUACGGUGUGACGCCUGCCCGGUGCCGGAAGGUUAAUUGAUGGGGUUAGCGGCAACGCGAAGCUCUUGAUCGAAGCCCCGGUAAACGGCGGCCGUAACUAUAACGGUCCUAAGGUAGCGAAAUUCCUUGUCGGGU
rnacentral:rRNA from 1 species